ACCUUUAGAAGAGGGUAGGGAGGAUGAAAGAUGAAAGUCCACAAAAAUUUAUGAUAGACCACUUAAGGAACCUGGGUCCUAGACCUGGACUGGAGGAGUCGUCCAAAGCACGAAGGAACCACAUAGACCAAACUGGCUCCUCUGGGGCUAAGGAACCGGGGCAGCUAAAUCUCUGCAAAAAGACACAAUCGAAAGCUUUAGGGAGUGCCUAAGAUGGCUAAUUGUGAGGAGCGGCCCACCGGGGAGGGUGCCUACUGAGGGAUGCUCUCGGGAGGCUGCCUCAGAGGGAGGCCUUGGGGAGAAGGGGCAAAAGGGCCCCCGAGAGUGCUCGGGAAGGGGCGGAGGCGGAGGCCAGCUGUAGGCCUAGGAACUCGGAGUGCGACACGACCCUGGGCCGACCAGGCCGCGGCGCCCCGCCCUUUCCCGGGACGCGGGGCCGGCCCGGGGCGGGGAGCGGGCGGGCGAGCGGACGCUUACAGGUCGGUGCCGAGCCGCGUGAAGCCGGAGUUGAGCGAGGCCCGGGCUAUCCGGCGCCAAAGCAGGUCGCAGCUGGUGAAGCGCCGCAGCCAGCGGCACACCUGGGCCAGGCGGCCGAGGGCCCGCAUGUCCAGCAGCUGUUGGAAAUAUAAAUAGAUGAAUGAGGAAAAUCCCCUAUGUUUAAAAUCCACCAUGGAGAGAAAAGCAGGAAGAAGUUCAAGCUAGCCCCUGGGGAUUUUCCCAGGUUCAGCAGAUUGACCUGGAAACAAGGAGUGCAGCUUGAGCUCUUCUUCCUUUAGCAGCACAAGCACUGGUCAGAGAAAUUUCCAAACACAUGGAGCUUAGUGAGACCACCUGCUCCUAACACAGGACAAUGGCCACUGGACCACCAACUCUGUUGCUUCAAGUCAACACCAGCUCUCCUUCACAACAGAUGACAGGCUUUCCGCUAGAAGAGUUUCCCAGUAAAAGAGUGAGCAAAGAAACACUAAACUUCACAUCUGCAAUAGAAGCUGAUAAAUGAGAAGUGAAAUGGACAAAUUAAAAAGCUGAAACUGAAGUCAGUCUUAUAGUAGAAUCAAACAAUAAUUACAUCGAUAUCAGCCCUGGCAAGACAGAGUUAAGAGCUCAAAUUAUCUCUUAGCAAGGAUAUGGGUCUGUAAGUGCUAUGUAGCCACUAAUGAGUAGACAGGAAUUUUUGCCCAGGUGCUCAUGCAUUCCUUACACUGCUCAGUAGAUACGUGGCACAACCCAGCAACUUUAUAAUCUCUCAAGAUCUCCAUCUCUGGCCAGGCUCGGUAGCUCACACCUGUAAUCCCAGCACUUUGGGAGGCCAAGGUGGGUGGAUGACCUGAGGUCAGGAGUUCAAGACCAGCCUGACCAACAAAGUGAAACCUCAUCUCUACUGAAAAUACAAAAAUCAGCUGGGCAUGGUGACGGGCACCUGUAGUCCCAGCUACUUAGGAGGCUAAGACAGGAGAAUUGCUUGAACCCGGGAGGCAGAGGUUACAGUGAGCCAAGAUUGCGCCACUGCACUCCAGCCUAGGCAAUGGAGCGAGACUCCAUCUCAAAAAAAAAAAAAAAAAAAAGAUCUCCAUCUCUUGGACCAUACAACAGUAGGAGAGGAGCCACAAUGGUCAGACCCAAUAGCUUGCCUAACUCCUGUAAAAGAGUUGAGGUCAACCAGAUGUUGCAAUUUUUCUGAUUUGAGUCUUUAGUCAUGUAUGAGAUAGCAUGUUGGAGCAUGUUGGAGUUUAAUUAAAGGUGUGUAAAGUAAUAUUGAAUUAUAUUUUGCAGGGGUAAGAGAAUUAAAGUUAAUAUCAGCUAUUAGAAGGAAAUUAUUGAUGCUGUGUGUGUCUUAUGUUAGCCCAUAUAAGAAAUAAAUGAACAGAAUUUUAAGUGUUUAA